AUAAAAGUUGAAUGUUAUUCACCUUCCAAUCCGAGUACUUGUACGUGUUGCUUUCGUGGGCGGCAGGAAAUGAUUCCAAGUGCCUAGCCUUUGAUGUGGACCCACGGAAGGCUUUCUAAAUUCUGUUAUUUUGUAUCGUCAGUCUGAUAGUUGUUUAUUGAAUAAACGUUA
rnacentral:misc_RNA from 1 species